UGCAGCCGAGCGGUAUUGUUUUCUUUCGGAAAUGAGAGAGCGGCGUACGGGUGCGGAACACGUGUGCAACCUGCCUUUAUCUGGGGGAUAGCCUUUCGAAAGGAAGAUUAAUACUCCAUAAUAUAUUGAACGGCAUCGUUUGAUAUUGAAAGCUCCGGCGGAUAGAGAUGGGCACGCGCAAGAUUAGCUAGUUGGUGAGGUAACGGCUCACCAAGGCGAUGAUCUUUAGGGGGCCUGAGAGGGUGAUCCCCCACACUGGUACUGAGACACGGACCAGACUCCUACGGGAGGCAGCAGUGAGGAAUAUUGGUCAAUGGGUGCAAGCCUGAACCAGCCAUCCCGCGUGAAGGACGACUGCCCUAUGGGUUGUAAACUUCUUUUGUAUAGGGAUAAACCUACCCUCGUGAGGGUAGCUGAAGGUACUAUACGAAUAAGCACCGGCUAACUCCGUGCCAGCAGCCGCGGUAAUACGGAGGGUGCAAGCGUUAUCCGGAUUUAUUGGGUUUAAAGGGUCCGUAGGCGGACUUAUAAGUCAGUGGUGAAAGCCUGUCGCUUAACGAUAGAACUGCCAUUGAUACUGUAAGUCUUGAGUAUAUUUGAGGUAGCUGGAAUAAGUAGUGUAGCGGUGAAAUGCAUAGAUAUUACUUAGAACACCAAUUGCGAAGGCAGGUUACCAAGAUAUAACUGACGCU
rnacentral:rRNA from 1 species